GUUCAGCCUCCCAAUUGUGCUGGAAGGGCACCUGGCUGGCUGCUAAGCAUAGGCCAGGAGGAGAUUUGCGACCUCUUCCUGAGGAUCAACACAGGCUACUGGUCAUGUGAAGGUCACGUUAUCCUAUAGUCUCUGGAGACUCUUUGGACGAUGCAGCUGCAAAACAAGAACUCCUUUCCUUCUCUAGGGGGAGGAGAAACGGACAACACGGCCUUCCCAGGUGGUCUCUGCAUGUAUCAUGGGGUAGAAUAGAUGGAAAAGCCUGAAGCAGCAGCAACGGACUCUCCCUGGCACCAAUCUCCAAGCUGGCACUAAAGGUUGCCUGCAGUGUGGGAUAAAUAUACUUCUGUACCCAGAAGAAUGCUAUUUUUUAAGAGAUGGAUCAGAAUUGACUGACAGAAGGCAAGGGCUUCCUGACUGUAGUCAGAACCCUUGUCUCUGAAGGCACAGCAACGGACAGAACCUUUGGAGCAUUCACGUCGAGAGUCUAAAGUGCUUGUGCACUUCUGUGGGACCUGUUCCUGAGUUGUGAGAUGGGAAUUGCUGCCAUGUGCAGAAUGGAUGUGUUAAACUCUGCCUCACACCCAGUUCAGCACUGGGUAAAGUUCUCUGCUCACAAUUGUCCUGGUUUUAUUCAGGAGGUUAACUGUCCGGCAUUUUCCGUUUGCAAAGCUAAGGAAGAAAAGAGAAGAAAAGUCAUCUUCUUGGCCACAAGGUUAAUGUGAGGUGAUACAGUGGCUCUGGGAUGAGACAAGUGAGGCAAACAACAUAGCAACAUUGGCUCAGCACGAGGCCGCUGUUGAGCAUCUUCAAUGAACUCCUGGGAGCAUUUGUGGCCAGUCUGAUGAGUCUCAUGCCAUCCUGCUCCAUUCAGCCGAAGACAGAAACUGUCCCUCUUCAUCUGCUGGAUCCAUACUGUAUGCACUACCUACUCAUCACUCACUUAGUUGGCUCUCCAUAUAGGUGCUUGUAUUCCAGGAAGCCAAGGAAUGACACCUGAUCCCAAACUUAGGAAUUGCUUAUUUCUGAAAUUUCCCCUUUCAGAUUUCGUAUUUUCAGGCAUAGUUGACCCUGACAAAUGGCAAAUGGCAAAAAAAAUUGUGGGCAAGUUGGGGGACCUCUGGGUAUCACAAAUGCACACAGCAGGUGCGACUUCUUUUCUGUUGGCUUCUUGGCCUAGGGAGCUGUGGUAGGUGAUUCCAGCACUCUAUCAGCCUACCAUUUCAAGCUCUGUGGCUCUCAGCCUCACUGGCUGAAGGCUUUGUAGACAUCAGGGGAGAUCAUCUGGACCAAUACUGGAACAAGUAGAAAUUAUAGGCAGCCAGAGCUCCAGGAUUGUGGUCCAGGAACGGUAGGUGAUCCAGCUGCUUUGCCCCGAGCCAACCCGGAGCUUAGGGCCACAGCUCUCAAGGAUUCUCCCAAAAGCUGAGCUCUAGCACACCCCCACACCCCUGUGUGUGUGUGUGUGUGUGUGUGUGUGUGAGCGCGCUCUUAUCUGCUUUCCUUCCAGUUAAGUCUCACUCUCCCCAAUUCCUCACUGGGAUUCCUGAAUUCACCUUACAGGUAAGCAAACAGUUCUCAGACCCUUGUCUUAUACCAUUCUUUGGGAAGGAGUAGCCUAUGACGCCAGGAAAACGGUAACAGACCUUCCAACCCCUUAAUAAGACAUGGUGAGAGAGGAGGCAGGAAGUCUGUGGGAGGAUCUUGGGAAAAGAUGGAAGUGGAUUUGCUACCGGUGUAGAAAGAAGUGUAGGAGUUGAAGUGGGGAGGAUAAUCCCAGAGACUCUGGUAUCAUGAGCCAAGAGAAUGGAUCACCUUUGGGGCUGGCAUGGAGUUCAGCAGAGCAGGAAUGAAGCACAAGGAUAGUGCCCAGCAAGGGUAGCUGCAAGCAAGUUGGAAUGGGCUUCCCAAGUCUAGGGAGAAGCUCAAGCAUUGCUCUGUAAACCUCCUAGUUUUGUUCUAGAGCAUCCAGAACACUGUGUGGAGGCCAGGAUGGAGGGUAGGAUGAGUGCGCUGUCCCGAGCCUGGCUGCUGCUUCCUGAGGGAAAGGGUAGACGAUUUCUCCAUCAGUCGUGCCGCCCCACAGCAGCCUGGGUCCUGGCAGCAGAGUGAGACCAAACAAGGCUGUUUGUUUUUGGACAACUUUCCCUCUCUAAAGUCCUUUCGUGAAGCAGUCAAGAAAGGACUUAAACCAUUUCGCCCUUCCGAAGCCAAGUCAGUCUUCGCCCUGUACUGUGUAGUUUUAAAUGCAUUUAUUUUUACUAAAGAGCAAUCAAUAGCUCGAAACAACGUGUAAAUGUACGUCAAGAAAGGCAUCCUUGAGGUUGCAGAGAUGGCUCAGCAGUUAGAAACACAGACAGGGGGCCUGGAUUUGGUUCCCAGUAGCCACAGGAUGGUUCACGACUGUUUAUAAUUUCAGUUCCAGGGAUCCAACGUCCUCUUCUGAUCUCUGUGUGCAAAACACGCGCACGCGCGCGCACACACACACACAAACACACACACGCAGACAAAGCAUUCAUGAACAUAAAAUUAAAGAUCCAAACAAAAUUAGGUUUCUUUUUCAAAGAAAGACAUUGAAGUUUGUGAUUCAUUUAAGCUGUAAGACAAUGUACUUACGUGUUUAUUCAUUCACUCAUUCAUUUCAUAGGAGACAGAGUCUUUCUAUGUAGCCCAAGCUGGCUGCCCUGGCAAGUCCUGGGAUCGAAGAUGGGGAGUAAGAAGCAUAAAUCUCUCCCUCGUUGGACUCGGGAGGCCCCCCCACUCUGUGUUUGGUAUCAGAUGCUGUUCAGCCCAUGGUGAUGAUCUCCAGCCCCCAUGUUGUCAUCUGCACAGAGAGCAGGAGAGCGACCCCAACUCAGCUGCAGCCGCUGCUACUCAUAGCCCAGGACAUCAAGGGCCCCAACUUCAGGUGGUUCAUGGAGGUGUUCUGGAGGAGACAAGAUCUUAAGGAUGGCCCCAGUCUCUUCUGUGACAGUUGCCUCUCUCUGUGACCUACAAAAAAGAGAAAAGUGUAACACCCAGGUUGCUUCUAUAACAUACCUAUUGUGAAUAAUUAUACUGCAUUUGACACUGACGUGGAACGGUCUCUGUGAUGCAUUGACUUGGAGUCCUUCAGGUAAGUACCCAGGGGUGGGGCAUAGCUGGAUCCCAUGGUGGGUAUAUUUCCAGGCUUUUUCUUUCCCCUAUUGGUCAAGGCUAGGAUCUUUAUAGUGCCCUGAGCUCUAGCCCCUGUGACUAUGCUGGCUUCACCUUCUACCUCCACAUUCCAUUGUAGGCAUGCUGGCUUUCUUAAGUGCUGGCAACAGAGCUGCUUUCUUCCUUCAUCAGCAUCUUUGCUUUUGCUCUCCCUCUGCCUCUAGUGUCUUUCCUUCAGACCCCCUUGAAUUAAAAUCUCAGCUGCACUUCACCUCCCUCUCUUUGUCUCACAGUCCACUUGAAUUUUCUCUGCAGCAUUAACCUCCCCAUAGGUAUUUAUGAAUUUCCCCCGUCUUCUUCAUCGUGGAAAGAGGCUGAGUCUGUGUGGUUUACUCCAGAGACUCCACCUUGUCUGAGGAACCUUUGCAUCUAUUUUGGAGGCUAGAAAGUCCAAGGUCAAGGUGGUAGAAGAUUCAGUGUCUGAUGUGACUGAUGCCCAGGAUAGCCAGCGAUUGCCAACAAAGCUCCUCGCCUCUUCCUUCUCACUGCCAAAGUAGCUUCACAAGCAUGAUGGUUCAUUUAUGCAUCAACUUGAUCAGACUAUGGUCGGCUCAGAGAGGAAUGACAAGGAUGAUAUUAGAAAAUCAGGCCCCAGGUAGAUCUUAGCUCUUUGGAUCUAAGACCAAAGUGGAGUGGAAACGCUGGCCACCAUGGGUUGAGGUGGCUAGGGUCAACUGGGAAGAAAGAACAUCAAUUGGGAAAAUGCCUACCUCCAUCAGAUUGGCCUAUAGUGACAGAUAUAUUUAUUACCCUGUCCAUGCUGACUUGACUGCAAGACUCUCUGAAGGCAAUGGAAUGUAUAUGUGGUGUGAGUGGAGUGUUUCUAUGUGCUUUGCAUGAUCUGACUGGACCUCCUAUGCUCCACCUAUCACCCCUUGCAGCACUUGCCUUGUACAGUUGUCUGGAUAAGAUGUGUUUCGCGGAUCUGAAGCACAUUUACAGUCUAGAGCUGAGUCCAACUGAGCUUGGCUGAAAUCAGCUAAAUUGCAGCCGACCUGCCGAUCUGUGUGUGAGAAAGCCAAAUGUUUCCUGUUGGAGGCUACUGAG